rnacentral:lncRNA from 7 species
GAAACCUUGUCUAAAAGUCAGUUUCCUUGCACUGCCUCGUUUCUGAAGCGCGAGGCCGUGGUGGAGGCUGGCAAGGAGCGGAGGAGCGCCGGCCAACAUGCAGCUCCCGGUCAGAUGUAGCAGGAGGAUUUUCCUGGCUGUUUGUGUAAUCCUCUUUGUGGGAUGCACAGUGCAAGGUGCCCCCGCGCAGAGGGCGCGGUACAAGCGGGUGCGGUGCCGGCCCGACGCCUGGAGCCCCAACUGCGUGGAGGAGACGGGGCCGUGGUUCCAGCUGCCCGACGGAGCGGCCAACAGGAUCCUGCCGCCCCUGGCCAACCCUGCUCUGAUGAAGACGUACCAGGAGCUGGGCGACGCCUUCCCGCUCUCCGAGGAGCAGUCGGGCUCGGGCUGGGACGCGGCGCUGGAGAUGGCCUCAGGCUCCGGAGCUGAGGCCUUUCCCGUUGUCGGGGCCGCCCGCCGCCCGGAGCUGCCGGCGGAGCUGGGGCAGCGGCUGCAGGAGGAGGCCCUGCUGCCGUAGCGCCUCGGCGCCGUGACGGACCGUCCCCAACCCAUCCCCGGCUCAAUAAAACCGCUGCCUUACGACCC